GAUGAACGCUAGCGGCAGGUUUACUAUUUGCAAGUCGAGGGGCAGCGCGGGUAGCAAUACCUGGCGGCAACCGGCAAACGGGUGCGGAACACGUACGCACCCUUCCCAAAACUGGUGAAUAGCCCUCCAAAAGGAGGAUUAAUACACCAUAACAUAGUGAAGCGGCAUCGCUUUAUUAUUAAAGUAGCAAUACGGUUUUGGAUGGGCGUGCGCCUGAUUAAAUAGUUGGCGGGGUAACGGCCCACCAAGUCUACAAUCAGUAACUGGUGUGAGAGCACGACCAGUCACACGGGCACUGAAACACGGGCCCAACUCCUACGGGAGGCAGCAGUAAGGAAUAUUGGUCAAUGGACAAAAGUCUGAACCACCCAUGCCGCGUGAAGGAUGAAGGCCCUCUGGGUUGUAAACUUCUUUUAUAGGGAACAAAAAAAGGGAAUUCUUUCUCACUUGACGGUACCCUAGGAAUAAGCACCGGCUAACUCCGUG
rnacentral:rRNA from 1 species